ensembl:lncRNA
AACAGAAAUGAGUCCUCCUGAUUUUAACCUGUUUUAAAAUAAUAUGGUGUUUAAAGCUAGCUUGGACUUGCAGGAUUACUACUGAAUUCCCUUUAGUACUUCUAUCACGGACAAUUUAGCUCUUCUUUUAAUACAAAGAUGAUUACUUUGUUUUUGUGUUCUUUUCCCAGAAACAGAUAUUUUUUAAUCUCCUCAGCCUCCCAUUAAUCUCUGGGUGCUGCUCUUGGUUUUGUCAUUCAGAAACGAUAUAAAACCUCAUUUAUAACCUUCCUGUCUCCUGUUGUCUUCAAAAUGGGCCUUGGAGAUCAUCAUGAAUCCGGGGGCAGCCUCUGCAUGAAGUGAUGCAUUCAUUGUGGCAGGGGUUCUCUUGCACUGAAGGCCUCUAGAAGAAAUGCAUACAGAGUAGUUGGGACUGAAAGAAAACAUUGCCUCAAGCACAGAUGUGAUUGAAAGCAUUUACAGUGCCACUAUGAGAGUUGCUGCACAACAUCUGUUUUGACUUUUCCAGAAGGUCUUGAGAAAGAUGAUGCAUCAGAAGUCCACUAAAUUUAGUAGGUAAUAAAAAUGAAAAACCUGGCUUUCUAUCGUAGUUUGAUUAUACUGAGGAAAGUGCUUCACAUUCUGAGUUGAUCUUAGACGUGCAAUCAGUGGGUCAUGCUUGAGUGGAAGUUUGGAUUGGUUGUCCAUCAGUAACAAUUAUCACUUUAGUACGUUGUGGCUAUUUUUACUUUCCCUGACAAUGCACCCUUAAAUGGAGACAUACUUUUUAUGAAAAGCAUAUGCUAAGUUAUUACACAUUUUAGGUUUGUAGCAGAGAGUAUUUGAAGGGAAUGAAGGAAGAUCUUUAUUUACUUCACUUAGAGGGGCUGGCAGGCACAGAUGUUAAGAUGAACUCUUCUGAAGCCAUAUUCUCAGCACAGAAAGUAAAGUUUAUGAUAACCUAGAUAACCCUGUUAAAAAAUUCACUUAUGGAAAUUCCUGCAAAUACCUAAGUGACUUUAAAUCCCUGUAACCCAUGUGUCAAUCUGCAUGUGAUUUGCAGGACUGUUUUUGCCUUAAAAAAGGAGUUUAAAAUUCAGUGUUGUCCUGGCUUCAUCUGGGAUAGAAUUG